CUCGGAGGCAGUCGAAUCUGUGGCUAGCUUCCUAACAGGUACAAAACAGGAGUGGUUUCUCAUUUCUCUGAAACGACAUCAGGCUUGUGUUCUGGAUAAAGUUGCCAAGUGGGCGGGCCUAGGUAUAAAAUAACGAGGCAGAGAUUUGAGGCCAACGUUAGAACCUACUGAGCACUCAGAACAGUGCUACUCCUUCAGACGACUCCAGAGAUGACGCCAGUGUCCAGGGUGGAAGUUCCUUGCAGCAACUGACUGGACGGUCAGUUUGCCACGGAGCGCUCUGUCACUACGCAAACCUGCUGCGCCCCAUCUCCAAUGCUGUUCUGUGGAGGAGCGGAGCAGGAAGAGAGUGGAAGGAAAGCAGCUUCCAGGAGUUUAUUGAACAGGCUUCAGAACAAAGAAUACCAAGGUGAAUAGAGACAAAGGAACUACAGAGAUGUGGAUAACAACAUGUACUGCUCAUGCAGAGAACCUGAACUCCGUUCCCAGCACCCACGUCCCUCACGACCACCUCCACCUCCAUCUUCAAAGUCUCUGUAGAUACCCGUACUCAUGUGCACGUACACAGAUGGUCAAGAAUGAGCAUCUCGAUAAUUACCAAAAUUUCGUGCCUGACUGAUGAGUUUUUCAAGUGCUGUGCUGUGAUUUCCUUCACCUUGAACCAUGCCCGUGACAGAAGCUGCUCAGAUGUUUGUAAGUUGCGGGAAGUUCAUGGGGUUGUGAGUCUCGUCAGGCCCUUCCCAUGGCUGUCUGAGCAGUGAGCGACUGCAGGGCUGUGAUGAACAAGAAGCCAGCACCACUGAGGCAAAGACCUUUGUUUUAUUGGGACUAUGGACGGUGGUUAUCUAGAGCUGAGAAAUUAGCAGUGAUUAAGAGACCAGCAUCACUGAGGUAAAAUCUUCUGAGAAGUCUUUCCUCAAGGUCAGCACACAGAAGUUGUGGCCCGGAGUAAGCCAAGUUUGUAGUUUGUUCUUGCAGCUGACCUUGGUAAUGUGUAAGAGUUUGGAAGGUGUUCUGAAGGAAUGAAGGGUGAGAGGCCAGGAGAGUCCACUGAAGAAGGUGUAGUUUCAGUUGAAGUAGAAGCGUCAGGGCUGAAGGAGUCAUGGAAGAAACCUGAGGCCUGGAACCAUGAGGCAGUGUCAGAGUGCCGGAAGAGACUCCAGGAAGCCACUAGUGAAGGUGCAGCCCAAUUGCCAUAGAAACCCUAGCAGUUUGGAGAACCCAACAAUAGAUCGUGAGUUGUGUGAAAAUAGAGAAAGUGAGGUGUGUGAGCCUCUCACCUUGGAGGAUCUGUGUGGGUCAAUGACAAAUUCUGCAACAGAACAGUUACCAGGAUUAAAGGGCCCUGUGCAAUAGCUACUCCUUCUCAUGUUUGCUAAUGCAAAACAAUUUUUGACACGUUUUUCAAAAACUGUAAUUUCCCUGGGCUGUGAUACUCUGAGUUGUAAGGGCUGUGACUGAUUUCCUUUGAAUAAUUAUUAUAUUAUCUCACGACUGUUAUAUAAUUGUAUAAUGCUCACUGGAUGAGAAAUAAACAAAUUAAACAAAAGUAGCUAGGAUGUGUCAAGGCAACGUUUUGAUGUUAAGUGAACUACACAAAGGGAAGGGGUUAUUUUCAUUCACUCAUCAAACAAUCCUGGAGAACUGUGUUAAGCAGAGCCUGAAGAUCUCCUGUCCAUAGUAGCAUUUUUAAAAUGUUUUAUUGAUUUUUUGGGGGAAUUUUACAUUAUACACCCCAAUCCAUUCAUCUCCCUGUCCCUUCAUCUCCAUCCCCCAUCCUUGCAACCUCUCCUGCAAACCAAAAUCAUGAAAACAACAACAAAUCUAUCUUUGGGAGCUGUGGUGUGUCACACAGUAUAUCCUUUUGCCUCAGUAGCUUUAUUUGAAAACAUUUGUUGCAAUGACUCAUCGGUCUGGUUGAAGACCUCUGGCUUCUGCUACAUUAUCAAUACUGGAUCCUCAUGGGGACUCCUUUCAGAAAUCCUGUCGUCACCCUGUAUCCUGGAGAUCCUGUAGCUUCGGAUCUGCACCACCUGUCCCUUCACAAUUCACAGAUAUCAGCACAGACUCUGCCUGUGGUAGGGCCACAGACCUAGACAUGGCCAUUGGCAGCAGUCGCCUGGACAUUCCUUUGGCCUCUGGUUUCUGGUAUCUGCCUGUUCUUCACCAUCAACGUGUCUCCAGUCCACCUCUUUCCACAGUGCUUGAAUCACUCGGUUUUGCUUUCCCACUCAUCUCUCCACUCAAGACUUCAUAUUUCCCAUCUCUUCAUCACAUAUUUGCUCAUCGUGGUGGCAGGCGUCUUUUGGGUGUCCUUUUUAUGGCUGCCUGGGUUGGCCUCAUUUUUUUCCACCAUGAGAAGUUCAUGGCCAAGCACUCACAGGACAGUCACGGAGAUAGCACCAGUCAAGCUCAGUAAAGAAGAAAAGAUGUGGUGAGUAAGAAAGAACAGCGCCUUGGCUUUAGGAGCACUUGGACGGCUAAAAAUACAAGAGACGCUCAAAACUGAACACUCAACUGAAGGCUCAAGUGUGUUUUCUCUCUUCUGCUUGUCUUUUCCCUUUUCACUUUCCAAUGAAUCUGCCCAUGUGUUUUAAUUCUUUAAGGAAUCACAUUAAGUCAAGAGCACUGGACAAGUUCCAGCUUACCGUGUGGCUGGCAUCAUUUCUUUUGAAUGAAGAAGGAGUUUAACCUUUUAAAUUUCUUCAAGGAUACAAGAAAAAUUAAUUCUUUUCAUACAAAACAUAAGACUACGAACUGAAUUCUGUGAGUUAACUGACUAAUUUAGUGCCUCCAGUGGCGCGAGUACACUAUUCAUACAGUGUGCUAAAGACUGGAUGGGGUCCUAAAGGGCAUACUGAAUUUAAGUCAUUGCUGCCCUCAGAGAGCAGAACACUCAUAGAACAAGAGGUCAAAGGGAACUUGCCGGGGAAUGAAGAGCAAUGCCCUGAAUUCCAACUGCCCUUCUACAGAGAAGUGCUUGACUGCCAAGUGGUCUUCCCAGUCAUUGGUGAGGCUCUUAUAGAAUUCACCAUAUUCCUCUUGAGUGAUGUCAUCAGGAUUUCUGG
ensembl:lncRNA